rnacentral:rRNA from 1 species
AAGGAUCAUUAACGAAUUAUCUUCGGCUGAUGCGCCUUUGGGCUGCACGUCGAACAAUUCCAUCCACACACACCGUGCACUUUGGGAUGCGGCUACGGCCGCUCCUCCUUUUCCACACACGAGUCCUAGAAUGUACGAAAUUCAUAACAACGAAACAACUUUCAACAACGGAUCUCUUGGCUCUCGCAUCGAUGAAGAACGCAGCGAAAUGCGAUAAGUAAUGUGAAUUGCAGAAUUCAGUGAAUCAUCGAAUCUUUGAACGCACCUUGCGCUCCUUGGUAUUCCGAGGAGCAUGCCUGUUUGAGCGUCACGUGAAACAUCUUUCCUGUGGCUUUUGUCGCAGGAGGGGAUUUGGACUCUGCCGUCGCCGGCUCGUCCUGAAAUGCAUUAGCUCGGUUCAAGCGACCGUCUCGGUGUGAUUAGACAUCUACGCCUUGGCCUAGCCGACGGGCUCACAAAACCCACGUAACAUUUUAACGCUCUGGCCUCAAAUCAGGCAGGACUACCCGCUGAACUUAA